GAUGAACGCUGACAGAAUGCUUAACACAUGCAAGUCGAUUCGAUUUACCUUCGGGUAUUGAGGAUGGCGGACGGGUGAGUAACGCGUAAGGAACUUGCCUCUUGGUCUGGGACAACUGUUGGAAACGACAGCUAAUACCGGAUAUUAUGAGAUUCUCGCAUGGGAAACUUAUGAAAGCUAUAUGCGACAAGAGAGAGCCUUGCGUUCCAUUAGCUAGUUGGUGGGGUAACGGCCCACCAAGGCGACGAUGGAUAGCCGGCCUGAGAGGGUGAACGGCCACAAGGGGACUGAGACACGGCCCUUACUCCUACGGGAGGAAGGAGUGGGGAAUAUUGGACAAUGGACCAAAAGUCUGAUCCAGCAAUUCUGUGUGCACGAUGAAGGUCUUCGGAUUGUAAAGUGCUUUCAGUUGGGAAGAAGCAAGUGACGGUACCAACAGAAGAAGCGACGGCUAAAUACGUGCCAGCAGCCGCCGUAA
rnacentral:rRNA from 1 species